rnacentral:tRNA from 1 species
GAGGAUGUAGCUCAGUUGGUAGAGUGCUUGCCUUGCAUGCACAAGGCCCUGGGUUCAAUCCCCAGCACCACCA